rnacentral:lncRNA from 13 species
CGUGUUUCAUCCUCCAUACUUGGAGGGCAGAGUACACAUGUCCCAUCCUCCAGGCUGGGAGGAUGGGGUGGACGUGGCUCAUUCUCCAGGCUGGUAAUGACAAAAAAGCAGGCAGCAGGGAUGCCUACAACCCAGUAUGAGGGGUGGAGUUGUCCCCCACAUUCAUGUGUUGAGAUCUGAACCCCUGGCUCCUCAGAAUGUGACUGUGUGUGGAGACUAGGUCUUUAAAGAGGUAAUUAAGUUAAGCUGAGGUCAUCUGGGUGAGUCCUAAUCCAAUAUCACCAGUGAGGUCACCCAUGGACACCCCUGUGUGAGGUCACAGGAGGGACCAUGGCUGCAGGGUGCACGGCCCAUCACCCAGAUGUCUCCAAACCAGUCCUCUUUGGCUCCCCAGAUGGGGCCUUGGAGUCCAGCUUUGUCCAGAGGCCCAGCAGGCCCGACCCUCAGCCCUGCAAGGAGCCAGGAGUCCUGGAAAGCUGCUCAUCCCCAAAUCACAGCAGCCACAGCCAUGGGAGCCAUGGGUUUCCCAGGUCUUGAAAAGUCAGCGCUCCUCCAGCUCCCCAAACCUCCAAGGCCACAGAGCCAGGCCCGAUGGCUUCUCAGGAGCCACAGUCGAGGCUGCAGAACAAAGCCUGAUGAACCUGGGGCGAGGGGGCCAAAGCCACACCCAGUCCUCCUUCGAAGUUGUCCCACAAAGAGAAAGAAUUGGGGAACCUCAGGGCUGCAGUAUGUAGCCGCAUCCAGCUUCAAGAGAGAAGUGGGAGGAAGCUCUUCCAGGCUCCUCCUGGUCCCAGCCACCACACUCAGGACAGAAGCUGGACAGCACCUGGCAUGGAGUAGGAGGAGUUAAAAGAGCAGCAUCUUUGAGUGAGGAGGACGGAUGUCGAGGAGCAAUCAAUUACCUGAGAGGUGUCCGUGGUUGCGGCUAAACGGUGACCCAGCAAGGUGCAAUUGGCGAAGUGUCACUUUUAUUCAUAGCCUCAAAUCUGAGAAUGGGCGCCUCUGCAUUUUAAUUAUUGGAAAGCACUUACCACCCUUGCUUUAAUGAAUUAUAUAAAAUUUUUAAAUGUGUAAUUAU